UGGUAGUCCACGCUGUAAACGAUGUCGAUUUGGAGGUUGUGCCCUUGAGGCGUGGCUUCCGGAGCUAACGCGUUAAAUCGACCGCCUGGGGAGUACGGCCGCAAGGUUAAAACUCAAAUGAAUUGACGGGGGCCCGCACAAGCGGUGGAGCAUGUGGUUUAAUUCGAUGCAACGCGAAGAACCUUACCUACUCUUGACAUCCAGAGAACUUUCCAGAGAUGGAUUGGUGCCUUCGGGAACUCUGAGACAGGUGCUGCAUGGCUGUCGUCAGCUCGUGUUGUGAAAUGUUGGGUUAAGUCCCGCAACGAGCGCAACCCUUAUCCUUUGUUGCCAGCGGUUCGGCCGGGAACUCAAAGGAGACUGCCAGUGAUAAACUGGAGGAAGGUGGGGAUGACGUCAAGUCAUCAUGGCCCUUACGAGUAGGGCUACACACGUGCUACAAUGGCAUAUACAAAGAGAAGCGACCUCGCGAGAGCAAGCGGACCUCAUAAAGUAUGUCGUAGUCCGGAUUGGAGUCUGCAACUCGACUCCAUGAAGUCGGAAUCGCUAGUAAUCGUAGAUCAGAAUGCUACGGUGAAUACGUUCCCGGGCCUUGUACACACCGCCCGUCACACCAUGGGGAGUGGGUUGCAAAAGAAGUAGGUAGCUUAACCUUCGGGAGGGCGCUUACCACUUUGUGAU
rnacentral:rRNA from 1 species